GCCAUCAAAGGAAAGGCAGAGAGAGAAAGGAAAGCAGUUUGACUUCAAGGCUGUUUCAAUAUGGUCUGUUUGAUGAACUACACAUUGAGAUUCAUAAAGAGCAGAUAAGCCUAGAAAGAUAAUGGAGGCAUAACUAUCCAUACAUUCAAAGAGAUUCAAAUUCACGCUAGAAGUUCAUCAUGUGAAAAGCCUUUAAAAAGUCCUUCAAUCGUAGAUUCCAUGGUCUCCCAAAUGUGAAAACAUAGUGAAUUUGACAUCAGAAGUUAAUCCAGCAAAGACAGUGAGCAGGCUUGUACAGGAAAGAGUGGAAGCACAGAACUCCCAUCAGGAUAAUAAACCCAGAACAUUUAGUGUGCCAAUGUGCAAUCUGUGGCAUAGACAAGUGAAGAAUUUCUUCUCUAUUCAUUUGGAGAUGUUCAGAAAGCCAGAAAGGAAAAUCUACCACACAAAAAUAGUGCAGAUAUACAGAUGAAAAGAAAAAAGUCAUUAUGAUUGAGGUAACCAAGACACACAAAGACAAAUACU
rnacentral:lncRNA from 1 species